UCCGCAACCGGAUCUUAAAAGGCUAAGUAGUGUUUCCUUGUUAGAAGAUACAAAGCCAAAGACUCAUACGGAUUUUAGCUACACCAUCAAAGCUUUGAGAAGCAAGAAAAAGCUUGGUUAGUGUUUUGGAGUCAAAUAUGACUAGAUGUCAUAUGUAUGAGUGAGUAUAACAACUAGAAUCGCAAACGGAU
rnacentral:sRNA from 1 species